rnacentral:rRNA from 1 species
CGGGAAACUGGGGAUAAUACCCUAUAGACUAUGGAUGCUGGAAUGCUUCGUAGUUGAAAGGUCCGCCGCUGUAGGAUGGGUCUGCGGCCGAUUAGGUUGUUGUUGGGGUAACGGCCCAACAAGCCUGUAAUCGGUACGGGUUGUGGGAGCAAGAGCCCGGAGAUGGAUUCUGAGACACGAAUCCAGGCCCUACGGGGCGCAGCAGGCGCGAAAACUUUACAAGGCGGGAAACCGUGAUAAGGGAACUCUGAGUGCCCGUAAAAUCUGGCUGUCCAUCAGUUUACCUAACUGGUGAAGCACGGGCCGGGCAAGACCGGUGCCAGCCGCCGCGGUAACA